CCUAUUGACAUCAAAAGGAAAAUUAUAAAUCCCUGUAGAUGUUGGAAAUCACAUAUUUCCAUGUUUAAAAUGUCGACAUUCCAGUUACUCGAAAUUUAAAAUUAAAGUGACAAAUUAUCCUACAGUAUCAGUAAAUAACAGUUAAUCACAAAAUAAUCCAAUUUUCUAUCAGUCCAUGUGCUCUUUCUACUUUACAUCUUGUAAGUACAAAAUAAAACAAAUAAUAAAUCCCAUGUAAGUUAUACAGUAAUAUUGAUUAUGUCAACACAAUUAAUUAAGGCACAAAUUACUCAAAAAUGUGAAUCAAAGUAACUCAAAAUAUUUUUGUUGUUCUCCUAAGCCAG
rnacentral:lncRNA from 1 species